rnacentral:rRNA from 1 species
GACGAACGCUGGCGGCGUGCUUAACACAUGCAAGUCGAACGGAAAGGCCCUGCUUUUGUGGGGUGCUCGAGUGGCGAACGGGUGAGUAACACGUGAGUAACCUGCCCUUGACUUUGGGAUAACUUCAGGAAACUGGGGCUAAUACCGGAUAGGAGCUCCUGCUGCAUGGUGGGGGUUGGAAAGUUUCGGCGGUUGGGGAUGGACUCGCGGCUUAUCAGCUUGUUGGUGGGGUAGUGGCUUACCAAGGCUUUGACGGGUAGCCGGCCUGAGAGGGUGACCGGCCACAUUGGGACUGAGAUACGGCCCAGACUCCUACGGGAGGCAACAGUGGGGAAUAUUGCACAAUGGGCGGAAGCAUGAUGCAGCAACGCCGCGUGCGGGAUGACGGCCUUCGGGUGGUAAACCGCUUUCGCCUGUGACGAAGCGUGAGUGACGGUAAUGGGGAAAGAAGCACCGGCUAACUACGU